rnacentral:tRNA from 1 species
GGGAAAGUGGUGGAAUUGGUAGACACCCCUCUUGGUUGAGAGGUAAUUAGAUACAGGUUCGAAUCCUGUCUUUCCCACUA